rnacentral:piRNA from 1 species
UUUUUAUUUCCUUCAUCCACU